ensembl:lncRNA
UUUUUUUUUUUUUUUUUGAGACGGAGUCUCGCUCUGUCACCCAGGCUGGAGUGCAGUGGCCGGACCUCAGCUCACUGCAAGCUCCGCCUCCCGGGUUCACGCCAUUCUCCUGCCUCAGCCUCCCGAGUAGCUGGGACUACAGGCGCCUGCCACCUCGCCCGGCUAAGUUUUUGUAUUCUUAGUAGAGACGGGGUUUCACUGUGUUACCCAGGAUGGUCUCGAUCUCCUGACCUCGUGAUCCGCCCAUCUCGGCCUCCCAAAGUGCUGGGAUUACAGGCUUGAGCCACCGCGCCCGGCCAGGAUGUUGCCACUUUUAUUGCAAUAAUUUUUUUCUUGUUUUGUUUAGUUUUUGUUUGUUUGGUUUGUUGGUUGGUUUUUUAUUUUGUUUUGUUUUGUUUUGAGACAGAGUCUCCCUGUGUCACCCAGGCUGGUAUGCAGUCGUGCAAUCUCGGCUCACUGCAACCUCUGCCUCCUGGGUUCAAGUGAUUCUCAUGCCUCAGCCUUCCGAGUCGCUGGGAUGACAGGCAUGCACCAGCAUACCCAGCUAAUUUUUGUAUUUUAAUAGAGACAGAGUUUCACCAUGCUGGCCAGGCUGGUUUUGAACUCCUGGCCUCAAGAGAUCUGCCAGCCUCAGCCUCCCAAAGUGCUGGGAUUACAGGCAUAAGCCACUGCACCCCACCAGCAUUAAUUUUUUUAUAGUUAACUUGUAUUGUUUUUCCAUUAAAAUAUUUUCAAAGAGUGCAGGGGUAAGUUUAAAAAUAAGUAACUUUCACUGUAGCCUACAGUUGACCCCAGUAGAGAUGUUGGUGGCUGAAACUAGCACCACCCAGUGCCAGCAAGGAGUAAUUGCAGGUUCCAGUCUCAAAUGGUCAUGUGCUUGCAUCAGAACUGAGCCUGCAGAGCUCAAGUGACAGUGGAAUGGCAACAGGCGCCAUUCAGGAGGACUGCCAGAGAUUCAUGGCCAAAUCUAUUCUGCCAAGUCAGGAGGUCUGUUCUGAUUGGACCAAGCUCCUGCCACAUUGGGUGUUAAAAACUUUUAAUAUCUCCCCUGGGUGACAGAACUGUCACUUUGGAGUUUCUAUCAAAGAAAUGCCAAGAUGGUGUUUACCCUCACCUCCCUAUCAAGAACCUGAGUUACAAUCCAGCCCUUCAAAUGACCCACAGCUCAUGCCAAGAAGGAAAAAUACCCAGCAGGGUGGGGGGUGGUAUGUGAAUGCCCUCCUCUGUGAGUCCUAGUGUGCACAGAAACACAUGCACACAGGGUUCACAUGUGCCAUACAGCAUGAGGAGGAGACAUGGCUGGGCUCCAGCCUCAGAAACCCUAGCAGGUCCCUGGGUUAGUCACAAGUGGGGAAAAAGGAUAUGUUUUCCUAAAAGUGAGCCCAGGAUGAGCCCUUUGGUCUCAAAGAAGGUAACAUUCAGUAGGAGGAGGAGCCCCAGGCUUAGGUCCUGGUCUCCAAAGAAAAUGACAAACAGGCCAGCAGCCUCAGAGUCACCAAUCCCAAGGGAGUGCAGAACGGGGAGGACCCCAUGCUCUAUAUCUAUGGGAACACUAGAGACAGACUCCACCCUUGGAGUGUUUGUGCCCAGAUUAGGUAGAGGAGAGUGCCUGGCCUGCCUCCACCCGCAAAUAGCAGGUCCAGGUCAUCUGGGGAGUCCUGGGUUGGCCUGGCAGAUUAAUAAAAAUAAUGACCACUACAUUGUAGUCACUGUGUCCUGUACUGAGCAACUGACAUAUUCAGUAUCUCAUUUAAUCCUCAUAAGAAUACCACCAGGUUGACCGUACCCAGCUCUUCGCACAGUUGCCAGGGGGCCUGGACCCAAGUCCUGAAGGAAGCAUUUUCCUGCUCUCUCAUUCCCAUAGCCCGGUUCAUCCUCCUCAGCCCCCAGUUCUGGACAGUGGAAAAUACAGGCCUCAUUCAGGAAGCUCAGGAGUCCAAACCCACAGGUCGCUCUACUCUGAGCCUGUCUGCCGGUCCAUAAAAGACCUUUCCAUCACUUGCUUUGCAGGGUUGUUGUGGAGAUUAUGAGAAAUAACCCGUAAGGCUGGCACACAGUAGGUGCUCAUUAAAUGUUCGCUCCCUCUGCACUCUGCACAUGGCUGCUAGACCAAAUCUUCCC